GACGAACGCUGGCGGCGUGCUUAACACAUGCAAGUCGAACGGAAAGGCCCUGCUUUUGUGGGGUGCUCGAGUGGCGAACGGGUGAGUAACACGUGAGUAACCUGCCCUUGACUUUGGGAUAACUUCAGGAAACUGGGGCUAAUACCGGAUAGGAGCUCCUGCUGCAUGGUGGGGGUUGGAAAGUUUCGGCGGUUGGGGAUGGACUCGCGGCUUAUCAGCUUGUUGGUGGGGUAGUGGCUUACCAAGGCUUUGACGGGUAGCCGGCCUGAGAGGGUGACCGGCCACAUUGGGACUGAGGUACGGCCCAGACUCCUACGGGAGGCAGCAGUGGGGAAUAUUGCACAAUGGGCGGAAGCCUGAUGCAGCAACGCCGCGUGCGGGAUGACGGCCUUCGGGUGGUAAACCGCUUUCGCCUGUGACGAAGCGUGAGUGACGGUAAUGGGUAAAGAAGCACCGGCUAACUACGU
rnacentral:rRNA from 1 species